rnacentral:lncRNA from 1 species
UUCCCCUCUGUCACACACACUUAAAAAAACAUUGUCCAGCCAGCCCCUAUCUGACCCCAGCCAAGUUUUGUGUUAUCUUUUACCUCCCCAUCGUAAGAAGAAAGCAGUGGCCUUUCAUAAACUAAAUUAGGCUUCGUUAGACAAAUAAGGACAUUGGCUUCACUGGGGUGUAGACCAGGCUGGAGAGCAGCCACAGCCAUCUUCACUGGUGAAGGGGAUAGCUCCAACACAGACAUCGGCUUUGCUUCCAUUUUUCUAGCUAGCUGUGGAGCAGCAGGGACUAAUGGCAUGCUGACUAACCGACGCUGCGUUUGCUUCUUCACCGGGCACCACGUAAGAGCUUGAGCACUGGUGUCCUCUGCUUGUUCCGGCCACUGCUUGUGUGAGCUUUAUUUUGUGUGUGUGUAUGUGCCUUGGAAUAGAAAACACCCCUUUGCAUUCAAUUUCUCUCAUCCCUAAAAGCUUUUAAAGACAUGCUCAGAAACAAACAAACAAACAAACAAAAAACCCAAACAAUUGACUUUUUUGAUGCCAAAAUUAUUGAAUUUUUUUUGCAUUAAGUUUUUGUUCUCAGUAAAAUAAAUCCUCUGGAGAGUCAGGGAAUAAGAAGUCAAGAGAAUCCUAAAGAAGCUUAAAAAAGAGAAAAGCAUUGCUUCUGCAACUUUUUCCUCCCACUGCUCCCGAGCCUCUGGUAGCUGGUUAUUGCUGCUCUUUCUUUCCGUAUCUAUACCUUUCUUCACAGUAGUCCCUGGCUCUGCACGGAAUAAACGAUACUCUCAAAUCUAACUGGACGUGCUUUCGCCUUUGCAUGUAAGUACAGGAGUAAGAACUCGGAUCUUUCUGUUUCAGAUUAGGGAAAACAAAUGGGGCAGAUGAGGUCUUCUUUUAGAAGGUGUCCUGGAUAGUCUGAGUAAUCUUUUUUUUUUUCUUUUUCUUUUUUUUUUUCUUUUUAAAGCUAAAUACUGGCCACAUUUCUAUUUUACCCGACAGUUUAUGCUUCCUCUUGAUGUCAGAGGAAGUUGGGGAUUGGGUACUGAAUGUUGUGUACCACUGUUGUGUAUGGCCUCCUGGAGGUCAUGUAGAGGGCCUUUGAUUGUGACAGUGGCAAAAAGCUGGGGAAAGAUUCCCACUGUCCACGGGACAAAAAUCCUGAAAAUGAUGUCUCUGCCAUGCUGCCUUUCUGCUUGCUCCCUGACAUUCCGGAUCUCAGGCUAGUGGCUUCUCCUUUAUGCUCAGUGCACAAUGGCCACUUCUUUUUAGUUUUUGGUUGGACAGCUUUGGCCUCUCUGCACGGUGAGCAUCUUCUGCUCCUUCAGGACUGUGGUCCCCUGUAAUUGUCAUCUGUGCUGUGGGAGGACGACUGAGUACUUGGUCAGCAAGUACUCGGGUAGCAGUUGAGAACUGUUUUCUCAGCUUGGGCUCUGUAUGAAUCGAUCCAGAAGGGUCUCUCUCAGCCAGGGGAGCUCCUCCACCUGAGGUUAGGUGUGGGUUUCUUGCUUUCGUCCUCCUUUACUUUGCAACUCACCAGCAACAGCUCUUGCUUCCUCUCCAUCCCGUGCACCUUGAAUGGGUGGACUUGACUCUCUCACUUUCCUCACACACCCCUAAGUGUUCCACAGAGUUGGUUGUUCAGGCGUCCCCUACCCACAUCGUACUGUCUCUGUGUGGUCCUCCCAGAACUGUCCAUCUGAAUCCCCCAGCUUUGCCAUUCAUAAGUGUCUGGAGUUGUCAGGUUCCAAAAGUCUUAGUUCUAUUGACAGGACAUUUAUUAUGGAGUCAUUAAGUGAAUCAUGACCUACAGAGUCUAGUUUGUAUGUAGGUAUGAAGGGAAUUUUAAAAAAUAAAUUGAAAAUUAAGCUGUGAACAGCAUUAGAACUUUGUCUAUUUCUUGAUUUUAAAAUAUGCUGAUAAUGCCUUAAACUGUAGUUGUAGAAUUGUCAUUUUUUGCUGUUUGAAGAUAACCAAUGUUUUCUAAACUGUUGUGUAACCUUUCAGUGUUAAUGCAGAUUGUCAUGUAUGUAAGCUGCAUGUUAGACACUUGUCUUUUUUUUUUAUAAACUAAAAUAACUGUAUUGACGUGAAGCCUAUUGUUCCUACAAGUAUGAAAGUGCUGACUCAGCAACCUGCCGAGUAACUUGGUGUCUGUUAUCGUAGUGUGGUGCCAGGUGACCUAUGCAUAUAUCACUAGUGCCAAGACUUAAAGUGGGGAAAUAUAUUUUUACCCAACCGU